AUUGAACGCUGGCGGCAGGCCUAACACACGCAAGUCGAGCGGAUGAAGGGAGCUUGCUCCUGGAUUCAGCGGCGGACGGGUGAGUAAUGCCUAGGAAUCUGCCUGGUAGUGGGGGAUAACGUCCGGAAACGGGCGCUAAUACCGCAUACGUCCUGAGGGAGAAAGUGGGGGAUCUUCGGACCUCACGCUAUCAGAUGAGCCUAAGUCGGAUUAGCUAGUUGGUGGGGUAAAGGCCUACCAAGGCGACGAUCCGUAACUGGUCUGAGAGGAUGAUCAGUCACACUGGAACUGAGACACGGUCCAGACUCCUACGGGAGGCAGCAGUGGGGAAUAUUGGACAAUGGGCGAAAGCCUGAUCCAGCCAUGCCGCGUGUGUGAAGAAGGUCUUCGGAUUGUAAAGCACUUUAAGUUGGGAGGAAGGGCAGUAAGUUAAUACCUUGCUGUUUUGACGUUACCAACAGAAUAAGCACCGGCUAACUUCGUG
rnacentral:rRNA from 1 species